CUCUGGAAAAGUAAGGGAAUGAAAUCAUCAAUUCAAAAUAACAUUCCAUUCAUUUAUUUAUUAAAAUCUAUUUGGUCCAGUGGUUUUCUAUCUAUCUGUUGACAUGUGCAUCACUAUAUGCUCUUGACCCUUUCAGACAGAAAGCAAGGUGGGCAGUGUAUGAAAAUGACUAUUUAAGGAAAUCUCUUCUAUAAAGUAGUGUCGAUGUGUGUCAGUGAAAUCACUUAUCUAACAAUCUGUGAUUUCCCUUUACUAUUCUUAAAAGAAAGUUUCACUGAAAGAAUGGGAGUCAUGAAUUUUGAAAGAUUAGGGCUUAUAUAGAUAGUAUUUUUGAAGUAUUUUGGCAUAACUUACUAGUAAUGCAUGGGGUUCCAACUAAGCAUACAACUCAAUGGAGAAACAGAUUAAUGGUAAUCUCUUUGGUCAAGACAACUUGAACUCAUAUGAUUCUGAAUGGGGAUCAAUGUCAGACAGUUUCAAACUUGUCAAAGCCAUUGCUCAUAUUAACCAACUUUUGAUCAAAGACUCACAAAAAAACUAGAAUAAAUCAAGAUUGACAGUAUUUACAGUGGAAUUUACAAUGACUUUUAUUUCCGAGGGGAAUAAUUCCUGUGAUAAUAGUUGAUUUGAAGAAUUGAGAGCGCUUCCAAUCAU
rnacentral:lncRNA from 1 species